CGAACGAGAAUGUGUAGCAAUACACAUGUACCGUGGCGAACGGGUGAGGAUUACAUGGGUAACCUACCCUCGAGUGGGGAAUAACUAACCGAAAGGUUAGCUAAUACCGCGUACGCCUCUCGGACUUCGGUUCGGGAGGGAAAGCGAUACCGUGGGUAUCGCGCUCUUGGAUGGGCUCAUGCCCUAUCAGCUUGUUGGUGAGGUAACGGCUCACCAAGGCUUCGACGGGUAGCUGAUCUGAGAGGAUGAUCAGCCACACUGGCACUGCGACACGGGCCAGACUCCUACGGGAGGCAGCAGUAAGGAAUAUUGCGCAAUGGGCGAAAGCCUGACGCAGCGACGCCGCGUGGGGGAUGAAGGUCUUCGGAUUGUAAACCCCUUUCGGGAGGGAAGAUGGAAUGGGGUAACCCAUUCGGACGGUACCUCCAGAAGCAGCCACGGCUAACUUCGUGCCAGCAGCCGCGGUAAUACGAAGGUGGCAAGCGUUGUUCGGAUUCACUGGGCGUACAGGGAGCGUAG
rnacentral:rRNA from 1 species